CCUACGGGGGGCAGCAGUGAGGAAUAUUGGUCAAUGGCCGAGAGGCUGAACCAGCCAAGUCGCGUGAGGGAUGACGGCCCUACGGGUUGUAAACUUCUUUUGUCGGGGAACAAAGGGCGCCACGUGUGGCGUUGUGAGUGUACCCGAAGAAAAAGCAUCGGCUAACUCCGUGCCAGCAGCCGCGGUAAUACGGAGGAUGCGAGCGUUAUCCGGAUUUAUUGGGUUUAAAGGGUGCGUAGGCGGUCCGGAAAGUCAGCGGUAAAAGCCCGGGGCUCAACCCCGGCGAGCCGUUGAAACUGUCGGAC
rnacentral:rRNA from 1 species